CUGUAUAAAGGCUGGAUAAGAGUAACGUGAGGGCUCCUCUACCUGGUACAACCUUGACUCCCAACCAUCACACGGUCACCACAAUGAUGUCUAACACAGUGGAGCUCUGCAGGCAGCUCACACAAGCUAGGAAUGAGCUUAAUAAUCUUAGGAAAAGGCUGCAGGGCUUACAGGCACAACAUCGGAAAGAUGUAUCGCAUCUGGAGAAGCUGCUGGCACACGGCCAUUGUCUGAACGGUGACUUUCUGCAAGGAUCUUCAUGCAAGCCUAAUUCUGGAGAUGACACUAAAUUAGAUCUUUUAAGUGGCUGGAAGCCAAUAGGGCACAUCAUAUCUUGGUUUCGGACCAAAAAUGGAACUCCACGGCAGGGGAGUGUGAGUAGUCUGAGCCGUGGUAUUAUGAAGGUGGACAAGAGUGUGUUCAAUAAUCCCCAGCAUGCACUUGAAGGAUUACAUGAGUACUCCCAUGUGUGGAUCUUCUUUGUUUUUGAUCAAAAUGAAGAUAAAGGUAUGGGUCACAGCAAGACAAAAGUAGCACCUCCACGGCUCAAUGGAGAACGAGUAGGUGUGUUCGCUACUCGAUCUCCUCAUAGACCCAAUCCUCUAGGUCUGACAUUGGCCCGAUUGGAAAGAGUCCAAGGUGACUGCCUGUACCUGUCUGGAUUAGAUAUAUUGGAUGGAACACCAGUGUUGGACAUAAAGCCUUAUAUUCCUCAAUAUGAUGCUCCACAGCCUCUCUCAUCUGCUUCGGAAAACUUUGCUGCACAAGAAAGAAGAAAUGAAACCAGGGAUUGUGGACUCUUUCAGGGUAAAAAUUCAGAAAAUGUGACGGAAAUUAUUGUUAAAGAGAAUUCCUACUGUAGUGUGACUAUUGCAGGAGGUUCACAGCCUAAUAAUAAACAUAAAAUGAAACAGAAUGCUCCAAACUCUAAGCUGGUGUGUACAGAAGAAAAUCCUGGUGGCAAAAAGAGCCAAAGAGAAUUUUUGAAGGAAAAACUUUCUCUCAAGAAAGUAAAUGAAACAAUGUCUGACACAAAAAUUGUUAACCAUCUUUCACUGAAGCAGUGUGAUGGAAGAGUCUUGCAACCUAGUGAAGAAUCAGGCAGAGAUGAGUGCAAUGAUUCAGGCAACUUAAAUUUCUCCAGUACAAAUUGUGGGAAAGAUUUAAUAGCGUGUGAUAAAGGAGAUUUCGCGUCUUGUCGAUUCAAAGAAAACAGCACGUCUCGCAUAAACAAAGGAAAGAAGUCACAUUCCACAUUGGGCAAUAAAAAGCACAUUAAGGCCCAGAAUCAUCAGGUGACUUGUAAGCCACUUAACCCAUCAGGUGAUGUGGGAAGAGUGGAAGAGGUGACUACAGCAUCAUGGCUUGAAGCCCCUCCAUCAUCAUCACUUCAAGUGAUUUUUAAUCCAAUUGCUGAGGCCCAAGUGAAGCUUUUUUCCAAAUGUGCGGAAAAAGAGUGUUAUCGGCUCGAGUUCCUCGAAGAUGGUGCCGAAUUGACAAGUGCUAUAAGUAGUGUGCUCAGUGAGGAUCCACGCUCAGCAUAUCGAAGACAAAAGUGCUCCUCCCUUCUCUACUACUUUGCUGUUGAUUCUGCACACAUUACUGCUUGGUUUGAGGGGGGCACAGCUGAAGUACUAAGAGUCCAUCCAUUACAAGCAAACAUGCAAAGAGAGACCAGUGAGACUUAGUCUAGAAAGGUGCAGUAACAAUGUUUGGUUAUUGGAGCCAUAGCUGGAUUAAGAUUUUGUUGGUCCCAUGGCUACAGGAACCCUGAGGCCCCAGUGGUAUUUUCAAAAGAAGAAAAAUUAAUCACAGCAGUCAACAGUUCAUCAUAUAUGUGAUGUAAUAACAGUAUGAUUAUAAACUUACAUCAGUAACUGUCAACACAUUUCACUUAACCUCUGGAGGCCCUCCAGAUGGCAGAGACCCUUGGGCUGCAGCACCUAAACCCCAUGUCUUAAUCCAGCCCUGAUAGGAGCAUGCCCCAGCAUUCAUGGUUUUUCAACACAGUUGUACCAAUGUGCCAUGCAGAAACAUUGGUAACUGAACUGAAUUCCUUAUGUUAUAUUUUCCAUUAACUUUUUCUUCAGCCACACUAGUCAGUUGAAUAGUCGAGUGUAUGUUUGAAGAAUGAGUUACAGUACAGUGGUUGGAACAAUCCACAAACAAGCCAGACUUAGAGACAUAACUUACAAUACUGUUUCAGUGCAGUACGGACUGAGCUGUCACGAGUUUCCUCUUAAGUGUGGGUUAUUUGUGAAGUGUACGUUUAUUUUGCUAUAAUUCUCAAAAAUCAGUCUGAAGAUCACAAAAUUAAUCUACUGUACUAAUUGGUAUUAAAAAUAGUAAUAUAGGGGCUGCUGUAGAAAAGGUUGGAGGGAAGGGAUAAAGGAGGUUUUGUGUGUGAGUGGCUUAGACAUCAAGCAGGAAUAUGUAAGCGUGUUAGAUAAGAGCGAGUGAUGUCAAACGGUUUUUGAGAUCUGAUGAGCUGUGGAGUGUUAGCAAGGUAACAUUUUGUGAAGGUAUUCAGGAAAACUGGUUAGCCAGACUUGAGUCCAGGAGAUGGGAAGUACAGUGCCUGCACUCUUUAGAAGGGGUGGGGAUACUGCAGUUUGGAGGGGCAUUUGAACUGUGGUAUCUGUCUGUCAAGACAGUGAUAGUGUGAAUGAUGGUGAGAGUAUUUCUUUUUCAGGUUACCUUACCUCAGUGGGAGACAGCCAGUUGAAAAAAAAAUUAUGCAGAAUUAGGUUAGUGAUAAAUUUAUUUUGCCAGUGUAAAGUAAAAAUUUGCAUACCAUGUUAAUCACUACAGGUUUAGUGCUCCCUCAUAAUAAUAUAUACCAUGUUAAUUUAUGUAAACAUAUCUCACUUCACAAGAAAAAUUAAAAGAAUUCGAUUUAAUGUCUACCUAUAAUUCAUAUUUUUUUUUUUUUUUGGGCUACUCAGUACCUGUACCAUAAGUAGUGAAUUACUGUCAUUAAUCUAUUAGUGCAAUUCUCAUUUUAUUAAAUUAUUAUUAUUACUGUAACAUAAGUAUUUCUAAUUAUCACUUACAUUUUAACACAUACAUAUUGCAGCUUUCUAAUAAAUUCCUUCUAUAUAAUGCAGUUUUUCUUAAAUGUAAUUGAAAAGGGAUAUACAAAAUUGAAUACCACCUUUGUGGUAGUUGCUGUUAAAGUUUGGAUUAAUUUUUCAGUUGCAUUUAUGAAAAAUUUCACAAAAUAGAGGUCCUUUAUAAGAGAUGACUGUAUAUACUUUUAACCCUUUGACUGUCGGGCCGUAUAUAUACGUCUUACGAGGUACCGUGUUUGACGUAUAUAUACUCAUAAAUUCUAGCGGCUUCAAAUCAAGCAGGAGAAAGCUGGUAGGCCCACAUGUGAGAGAAUGGGUCUGUGUGGUCAGUGUGCACCAUAUAAAAAAAUCCUGGAGCACGCAGUGCAUAAUGAGAAAAAAAAAAACUCCGACCGUUUUUUUUAAUUAAAAUGCUGACUUUGUGGUCUAUUUUCGUAUAGCAUUUAUGGUUGUAUUCUCAUUUUCUUGGUCUCAUUUGAUAGAAUGGAAAACAUAUUAUAGAAACAGAGGUGAUUUUGAUUGAUUUUACUAUAAAAAGAACCUAGAAAUGGAGUCAAAGUUGGGGAAAUGUUUGAUUUUUGCCAAUGUUCAAAAGUAAACAAAUGAUGCCAUUGUCCAAUAAAUGUCCAACUAGCCAUUCUAAUAUGCAGUCACUAAUGGGUUGAUGUUAUUUAUACAAUUAUUACAGUAUUGCAGUAGUCUGCAUAAGAGUAAGUCUUCUAUUCUUUGUUUGAAUAAAAAUUCAAAAUAGAAAGCAAGAGUAAUAUUAGAGGGACCUGGAGACAUGACUGAUGAGCAAAGAAAAUGUUAUUUUAGAGCCAGGAAUGUCUGCAUUGUUCAUUCUGGACCUUAUUUUCAAAUUGUCAUAUUUUUUAGUUUUUGUGAAUUGGCCAAAUUGCAAAUUUCUGACCACAUUAUUAGGUAGUUUAAAUCGGUAAAUGGGCAGUUUCGUGUACUCAAUCGAUAGAAAAAAUGGAGUUCUAAAGAAAUAGCUAUGAGUUUGGGCGACUGGAUUAAUGGAA